rnacentral:lncRNA from 1 species
CAGAGUCGUGUGAAUCAGCAUUAGGAAAAAUGGCUUAUGGGUUCUCAUAAUGCUGAGGGCUAUAAGGAGGUGUAGGAGACUCACUUUGGACCUCUAAGUUAUAAAACCAGUUAUCACAGAUGUGGACAUUAGUUUUCUCAUGGUUCGGCAGUGUAAAAUUCCAGACUACUUCGUUAUCAAUUAACAACUCAAACUCCGUCG